GAGUGGCGCACGGGUGCGUAACGCGUAUACAAUCUGCCUUUAAGCGGGGAAUAGCCCAUGGAAACGUGGAUUAAUACCCCAUAGUAUGUAGACUUCACCUGGAGAUUACAUUAAACAUUUAUGGCUUAAAGAUGAGUAUGCGUCCUAUUAGUUAGUUGGUAAGGUAACGGCUUACCAAGACCGCGAUAGGUAGGGGUCCUGAGAGGGAGAUCCCCCACACUGGUACUGAGACACGGACCAGACUCCUACGGGAGGCAGCAGUGAGGAAUAUUGGACAAUGGAGGCAACUCUGAUCCAGCCAUGCCGCGUGCAGGAAGACGGCCCUAUGGGUUGUAAACUGCUUUUAUACGGGAAGAACCACAUCUACGUGUAGAUGCUUGACGGUACCGUAUGAAUAAGGACCGGCUAACUCCGUGCCAGCAGCCGCGGUAAUACGGAGGGUCCAAGCGUUAUCCGGAAUCAUUGGGUUUAAAGGGUCCGUAGGCGGGAUAAUAAGUCAGUGGUGAAAGUCUGCAGCUCAACUGUAGAAUUGCCAUUGAUACUGUUGUUCUUGAAUUAUUAUGAAGUGGUUGGAAUGAGUAGUGUAGCGGUGAAAUGCAUAGAUAUUACUCAGAACACCUAUUGCGAAGGCAGAUCACUAAUAAUAUAUUGACGC
rnacentral:rRNA from 1 species